AUGUUAAAAACGGAAUGUAGAGAAAGACACGAACUUAAAGUAUGUGAUUUGAAUUGUAGGGAUCAAGGAAGAAAGCUCGAGUCGUUCCGGGUCGCAAACAAACAACGACAAAGGUAAAGCGACUUAUUAAAUGGCGUUACUUGGAUCGAACACAUUCAUGAUGCACGCUUCCGUGAAGAAACUAGUUUUAGUCAAAACUUUUGUUAAAUGCUUUUCUUUUGUUCCAAACGGGUCUUUUGUAAGUUUUAUGAUCCGAAAGUAGUAGAUGUUGAACUUGUAGUUAAAAGACUAUGUUAGUAGUUUAUGUAAUGUUUGGGUUAAAAACUUUUGUAGUCGUUAUGUUGUUCGUUACCAAGUUAAAUGCAGAAUUUUGGUUUGUAAAUUAUUCGACCCGU
rnacentral:lncRNA from 1 species